GCAAUUAUUGGUUCUCUGUCCGGCAAAGAAUGUUGCUGUUUGGUUUUGUUCUUUGCAUCGUAAGCCAAAUGUUCAAAUAAAAAAUUUAAUUAAAAGUGUUAUGGUUGUCUAUAAUAUCAUGGGGGGUAGAUCUACAGCGCAACCAAAGAACCUAGAUUGGAUUUAUCCCAUGAGUAAUCAACAACAAGGAGGUUACGAAUGUGGAUAUUAUGUGAUGAAUUGGAUGUUAGACAUAAUUGAAGGGGAAGUAACAAAUGAUUGGAUUGAGGUAAUG